AUAGCGUAUAUUAAAGUUGUUGCAGUUAAAAAGCUCGUAGUUGAAAUUGAGGAAAGAGAUGGCUUGAAAUCCAUGAUUGAUAGCUAUCUUGUCCUUCGACGUCGUGUAUUUCUCUGAUGCUCUUUAAUGGGUGUUAAGGAAGACCGGCAAGUUUACUUUGAAAAAAUUAGAGUGCUUAAAGCAGGCUUAUGCUUGCAUAUUGUUGCAUGGAAUAAUGAAAUAAGACUUCGGUUUUAUUUUGUUGGUUUUCGAAACUGAAGUAAUGAUUAAAAGAGACUGCCGGGGGCAUAUGUAUGCUGGUGCUAGAGGUGAAAUUCUUAGAUCAUCAGCAGACAAACUACUG
rnacentral:rRNA from 1 species